GGACGCAGCAGUGGGGGAUAUUGCACAAUGGGGGAAACCCUGAUGCAGCGACGCCGCGUGAGCGAUGAAGUAUUUCGGUAUGUAAAGCUCUAUCAGCAGGGAAGAAAAUGACGGUACCUGACUAAGAAGCCCCGGCUAACUACGUGCCAGCAGCCGCGGUAAUACGUAGGGGGCAAGCGUUACCCGGAUUUACUGGGUGUAAAGGGAGCGUAGACGGCGGCGCAAGCCAGAUGUGAAAGCCCGGGGCUCAACCCCGGGACUGCAUUUGGAACUGUGCCGCUAGAGUGUCGGAGAGGCAGGCGGAG
rnacentral:rRNA from 1 species